GACGAACGCUGGCGGCGUGCUUAACACAUGCAAGUCGAGCGGUAAGGCCCUUUCGGGGGUACACGAGCGGCGAACGGGUGAGUAACACGUGGGUGACCUGCCCUCAGCUCUGGGAUAAGCCUGGGAAACCGGGUCUAAUACUGGAUAUGACCCCAUGACGCAUGUUGUGGGGUGGAAAGCCUUGUGCGGCUGAGGAUGGGCCCGCGGCCUAUCAGCUUGUUGGUGGGGUGAAUGGCCUACCAAGGCGA
rnacentral:rRNA from 1 species